UUCACCUUUUGUCGUUUUUGUUUGUUUGAUUUUUUUUCUUUUUCAUAUUUUUUCUUUUGAUCUGAUUUUCUUGUUUUAGCAUGAUGAAUAUGGAAAUAUGCUUAGAAGAAAUGCAUAUAUUUAACCUAUAUUGAAUUGUUUGCUGUCUUGGGUGGGGAGGGAAGAAAAAAUUGGAACACAAAGUUUUGCAAGGGUGAAUGUUGAAAACUAUCUUUGCAUGUAUUUGGAAAGAUAAAACGUGAUUAACAAAAAUUAGUAAAAAUGUGUUCCUAAUCAUUAGGAAGAUUUAUGUGUUAUUUCAAUAGAUAAUAAAUAAUGAUAAUCAUUUUCUGUGAAAUUUGAUAUAACAAAAGAUAUUAUAAGAUGUCUUAAGAUCUUAUUAGCCCUAUUAGUAGUUUAAAGUGAUUAAGUUUGAGGAAUAAUGCUGAAGUCUGGCAACAUACUAGCAAAUGGGCAAAACUUCAGUACUUUAAGAUUUUUAAGAAUUAGCCAUAAACCCAGGCUAGAGUGUGACAAUUUAACUUUAGUUGAAAAUAAUAAUACAUUUUAUAGUUCCUCACACCUAUUUAGAAAUUACAAAGAGAUUCCAUAUCUGCCUAUUAUAGUAGACUGUUCUAAGACAGAAACUUUUAACUUAAUAUACUAGAUAAUUAUCAUAAGAUGAAAAAUUUAUAGGGUAAACUUGCUAAUUUGUGGAAGAAACUGUUUAAGACAUUUGCUAUUUAAGCCUAGUAAAAGUGGGAGAAAAUCUAAUGAAAGAUCAUUUAGAACUCAGUAGUCUUUCUGCUUUCUAAGAAGUACAUAUUAACCUUAAUUAAGAUUUUGUAUAUGAGAAACUUCACAUUAACAUUAAUAUGUUAACUUUAAAUAAAUAAUAAUAGACAGUUAUAAUUUUACCUAGAUGUUAGAUCUAAAAUGUUACAUUGACUUCCUGAGAAGUUUGUGAAGAACUUACAGUUUUGCUUAGUAUAUAAAAGUGACUUAGAUGAUUUGUGAUUAUGAAAACAAAGGUAAUCAUCUAGUCCUGUGAUCACUGAAAUUUUGCUAUUUAAAAUUAAAUUCCAUGGUACUUUAUUUCAAUAUUGUUUUAAAUUUUGAUUUCAGAUAUUAUUGUCUAAAUUGCUAUGAAACCAAUAUUCCAUCUUUGCAAUUUCAGUGCUGCUAAAAAAGGAGUGUAGAAUGAGGAUUGCCACAUUGCCUGGGAAAAUGGAAGGAAUGACCUUUCAAAAGCAAAGGUGAAUCUAAGUCAUUCUGAAGGGCUGAUUUCAGAAAGUCCUGGAAAGACUUAUAUGAACUGAUACUAAGUGGAGUGAGCAGAAUUAGGAGAACGUUGUGAACAGUAACAAGAUUAUGUGAUGAUCAACUGUGAUAUAUUUGGUGCUUCUUAACAACAAGAUGAUCAAUUAUAUACUUCAACAACAAUACUAUAUGAUGAUCAAUUCUGAUGGACCUGGCCAUCUUCAGCAAUGAGAUGAACCAAAUCAGUUCCAAUGGAGCAGUAAUGAACUGAACCAGCUACUCCCAAGGAAAGAACUCUGGGAGAUGACUAAGAACCAUUACAUUGAAUUCCCAGUCCCUAUAUUUUUGCCUGCCUGCAUUUUGGAUUUCCCUCACAGGCUAAUUGUACAAUAUUUCAGAGUCCGAUUCCUUUUGUACAGCAAAAUAACGGUUUGAUCAUGUAUACUUAUUGUGUAUCUAAUUUAUACUUUAAUAUAUUUAACAUCUACUGGUCAUCCUGCCAUCUAGGAGAGGGGAUGGGAGUGGGGAGGGGAAAAAUUGGAACAAAAGGUUUGGCAAUUGUCAAUGCUGUAAAAUUACCCAUACAUAUAACUUGUAAAUAAAAAGCUAUUUAAAAAAAAAAAAAAAAAAGAUGAUCAAAGGCAAUUCCAAUAGAGUUGGGAUGGAAAUCCAGAAAGAGAACUAUGGAGAUUGAAUGUGGAUUUUCACCCAUUUUUUGUUUGUUUUAUUCUGUCUUGCAUUUUUUUCCUCUUUUGGUCUGAUAUUUUCCUGUACAACAUGACAAAUAUGGAAAUAUGUUUAAAAGGAUUAUAGAUAUUUAACCUAUAUCAGAUCUCUGGCUGUUUUGGGAAGGGAAGAAGCAAGGGAGACAGGAAAAAAAAUUGCAACACAAAGCCUUCCAAAAGUGAAUGAUGAAAACUAUGUUUUAUAUGUAUUUGGAAAAAUAAAAUUCUAUUGAGAAAAAAAAAAAAAAGUCAUCCUGAAGAUCACUCCUUGCUUCUCUGAGCAUUAGUGAAGGACUGGAUGCAACACUCAACCUGCCCCGACUGAGUUUGUAAUUCCUGUGAUUUGCAAUUCCAAGUUUUCCAACUCCCAAAGUCAGAGACUCUAUUUCCUUCAUAGAGGGAAGAAGUCAUUGAGAUUCCUCAGAAGUGAAUGGGGUGGACAUGGUAGGUCACUGACAAUUCUUUUUGAAUGCCUUUGAAGUCCAAAGAUUCUCCUUUUAUCAUCUCAUUAGCCAAGUGGAAUGAGAUGGAAAAUGUCUAUGCAUGCUCCCAGUCUCUUUAGGACUUUACACUUCAUCAUGUUCUUUUAGAACCAGGCUUCCUAGAUUCUCUACCUGAAAAGAAGUCAUCCUAAGGAGGUAAAAACAUGUACCAGAGCCCUCAUUAUAUGAACUUACAUUUAGACUCAGCUUAAAGACCCCUAUUUACAGAAAAUUUGGAUAUUGUUACUGCAUCUUUAAAAGAAUAGGAAUAAAAUCUUGAGAAAAACUUAAUUGUUAUUCUAUGGAGAUGCUUGGUUGAUGUACUCAGAGAGGACAAAGAGAAACUUUCUGGAGGAUUUGAAGAGUUUGGCGAAAUAAUAAGUAAAUUCAUCUUGUAUAUUCUGGAGAAACAAUUUUGGAGAACUAAGGUGUAAAUCAUUAUUUUGAGAAGACUUUUUUGUUUUCUAGCAACUUAAUAUUUUCUGGGUUUUUUUACAUUUUAAAAUGUCUAUGUUGGUUAAAUUUAUGAUAUAAUGGGGGUUUAUCAGAAGAGAUGCUGACUGCUGGACCACUGGAUCUUAGACCACUUCUAUUGGGUCAUUUAUAUUCUAGUUCAAUGUUUAAGAACUUGUUGCUUUGGGAUAUUCACUUCUCUUUCCUAACCCUGUGUCAGUAGUAAAGUGAUAAACAAGUUAAAAAAAAAAAAAAAAGAAAACUUCCAAUAUGAACCUAUCAAAUGGAAAUCUAUUUUUGGUCUUUCUAUAGGUUGGGGCAGGAAUGAGGGGAAUUGCUUUUCUCAUCACUUCCUGGAAUGAUACAUGGCAUUUACAAGUAUAUGUGCUACCUAUCAUAAUGUGAAUCAGUUUUCAUUCAUUUGCACACAUUUCUGCUUUUUAAAAUGUUUCUUUCCCUGAGCAUAGGUGACCAAACAAAAAAUCAUUGGAAGUGACUACCUUGCUUGGAAAUUCCUCAGUUCUUCAGUCAGAACUAGUUGCACUUUGGAAAGUCUUUUCCCGCAACUUUUACAAUGCUUAUCAGAGAAAAAGGUCACCAAGAAAAGAAUGAAUCCCAAAGCUUGGUCUGCCGUGUAAUAUAAGCCAGAAGACAUGAACUUUGAAGAGAAUUAUUCAAUAAAGACAGAGCCAAGAUGAAACUGCAAUGCCUAUCCAACAGUCCCAUUAAAUGUUGUUUGUUUUAAUAUUUUAAGUAUUUAUUUCCCAGGAUAAUACAUACUAGAAUUUGUAGGUUACAAUUAUAUUUGUUUUUAACA